rnacentral:rRNA from 1 species
AGUGAACGCUGGCGGCAGGCCUAACACAUGCAAGUCGAGCGGCAGCGCGGGGGCAACCCUGGCGGCGAGCGGCGGACGGGUGAGGAAUUCGUCGGAAUCUGCCUUUUUGUGGAGGAUAACGUAGGGAAACUUACGCUAAUACCGCAUACGUCCUACGGGAGAAAGUGGGGGACCGCAAGGCCUCACGCAGAAAGAUGAGCCGACGACCGAUUAGCUAGUUGGUGGGGUAAAGGCCCACCAAGGCGACGAUCGGUAGCUGGUCUGAGAGGAUGAUCAGCCACACUGGGACUGAGACACGGCCCAGACUCCUACGGGAGGCAGCAGUGGGGAAUAUUGGACAAUGGGCGCAAGCCUGAUCCAGCCAUGCCGCGUGUGUGAAGAAGGCCUUCGGGUUGUAAAGCACUUUUGUCCGGAAAGAAAUCCCUGGAGCUAAUACCUUCGGGGGAUGACGGUACCGGAAGAAUAAGCACCGGCUAACUUCGUG